rnacentral:lncRNA from 1 species
UCAAAAGAGAAAAAAAAGUUUAUUAAGAAUGUAUAAGUACAAUUUAAAAAUUAAGAAAGAGGUUUUUAAAAAAAGAACUAAUCAGGACCCCUACACCUAUAUAAAUGCAAUGAAAUAAGUUUAAUAUUUAUAAUUUAAUAUUGGAUUUAAAAUUUCAGUAGUUAUAAUAGCAUAGCUGAUCAUGCAGAAGAAAGAACUAACAAGCUCCAACAGCGGUCAGAUGAAAUUAGCCAAUUAGGGGAACAACAACAACAGAAAGAUUGGGGGGAAAAAAAAAAGAAAAAAGUUAAAAGUUUUCUGUGGCACCACAUCCAUGCAUAAAUAUAACAAUUAUGAGUGUACCCAAAAGAGGAGAGACAGAAGAGCAGGAAGCUUAAAUAUGUACUGUAUAAACAUUUCCCAAAUUCUAGGAGGGAUACGAACUCAAGAAAUUCAAAAUGUCACAAUUAGGAUUAAUUUUAAAAGGAAUACUCUAAGAUGCAUUAAUCAAAUUGUAAAAAUCAAAGAUGAAAAGAAUCUUGAAAGGAGCAAGAGGAUAAACUCAAAGGGGUCUUCUCAGUUAAGACUAUCAGGAAACUUCUUAACAAAGUACUUGCAAGUGAGGAGAAAGUGGGAUGACAUUCUGAAAGGGCUAAAAUGAAAUUUUAAAAAGGCUAUUAAAAAUACUCUAAACUGCAAAGCUGCAUUUCAGCAAUAAAAAAGAGGUAAGUAUAUUUUAACACAAACAAAAUCUGAGAAAGUUUGUCACCAUGAGACAAGACUUACAAGAAAUGUCUAAAGGGUUCUUCCAUGUGAAACAAAAGCAUGAUAAAUAACAAUAACAAAACACAUGGCUCUCCAGUAAAGGUAAAUGAACAGUCAAUACAGUAUACUCUCCUACUCUAAAAGUAAUGUUUAAAUUACUAUUAAAAUUAGUAUUCAAAUAUAAAAAGCAAAUGUAUUAAUAACAACUAUAUGAUACACAACUCCUUAGUGGAUACCCAGUACAAAUAGUUGCAUAGUAUAACAUUAGUAGCAUAAAAGGUGGGAAAUGAAAAGGUAGAGUCUUCAUAUAGUAAUAAAACUAACGUACUAUCAGCUUAAAUUAGAACAAUACAAGAUGUUUUACACAAAAACCAUGCUAGGUAAUUGAAAACAUAUCUCUAGUAGUUACACAAGAGACAAAAAUGUAACAUUGAUAUAACACAACUAAUCAAAAACAAAGACUGCAAGUGUAGAAGAGAACAAAACAGUCAGUCAAAAAUUAACAAAAUGCUCGUAGUAAGUUCUCAACUAUAUGGAUUCUUCAAUCAAAAGACACAGAAAGGCAAGUUAGAUUUAAAAAAAAUUAAAAAAAUUAAACAAUAUGGUGCCACUAACCACAUUUAGACUUAACUUAGACUUAAUAACACACAGAGACUGAAAGUAAAGAGAUUUAAAAAGCUAUUCCAAGUAAAAGUUGAUCAUGAAAGAGUAGAUGCUGCUAUACUCACAUCAGAAAAAAAGACUUUCAGUCAAAAGCUGUAAAGAGAGUGGGGGAAUAUUAUUAUGAUAAAGGGGUCAUUUAAUUAAAAUGCUGUACCAACUGUAAAAAUCCCCACUCCUUUCAUCAGUGUUCCUACAUAUAUAAAGGAUGAAAUAGAUUGGAAAGAUUCUACAAACUGCAAUUUAGUAACAAUGAGAGAUUUCAAUAGAACCAACAGUUCUAUUGAAUUAGUGGAUUUGAACAAUACUUUAGACUAUAUAUACCUACCAGAUAAUAAUAGAAUUUUCCCUUCAACAGCAGAAUAUAGAAAAUAUGAAACCAAGAGUCUUCAUGAGGUAUAAAAUUAAGGUACUAUCAGCUUAAAUUAGAGCAUUUUAACUGUAAAAGGUAAGUCUUAUGAGAUGAAUAAAAAUAAAUCCACAAUACAUCAGAAUUUAAACAAUGAAGAAAAAGCAGUUCCAAAAGGGAAGUUUAUAGCAAUAAAUGCCCACAUCCAAAAUGAUAUCCAAUAGAUAACUUAUGGUUAUAUCUCAAGAAUAUAAAAAAGAACAAUCAAAACAAGUGAAAAUCAGCAGAAGGAAGAAAAUAAGAAAGUGCAAAAAUACACAAAUAGGGAGCAGAAAUACAAUGGAAAAGAUCAAUGCAACUAAGCAACUAAGCAUUGGUUCACUAAGGUGAUAAAACAGCAUACGUUAGCCAGACUAACUUAAAAAGAUGAAAAAGAUGAGUCAAAUGAAUACAAUUCAAAAGAGAAGACAUUACAACUGAUACCACAAAAAUACAAAGACUCCUAAGAGACUACUAUGAACAAUUAUUGUUCCCAAAUUGGAAAACCCUAAAGAAAUGGGUAAAUGCAUAGACAAGCAGAAUCUACCAAGUGAAUCAGAAAAAAAUAGAAAAUCUGAACAGACCGUAUACAUAAGGAGAUGGAAUUAGCAGUACAAGUCUUCCACUGAAGCAAAGCCUGGUGAGUUCAUGAGUAAAUUUUACCAAACAUUUAAUGAGGACCUAAUGUCAUGGGUGGGUCUCUGUUCUUAGAGCUCCCAAGAUGGCGGCAAGCCUUUUGUUCUCUGACCUGGGGUUCUUGGCCUCUCAGAUUCCAAAGAAUGGAACCUUGGGCCAUGCGGUGGGUGUUAUAGCUCUGUUAGAUGGCAUGGGUCACGGAAGAGAACUGUGGAACCCUGCGACCAGUGUUCAGUUUGAUUAGGAUGAACCUGGCACUUAGCCAUGCAGGAACAAUGGCGAGCCUUUAGCCUAAUCAGGAGCGGCAACGGGCACCUCGCAGCAGACACCCUGCCAGAUCUGGAGGGGUGGGAGUCAACAGCAGGUCUGCGAUAGUGGCAUUCAGCAGUGCUGGACAGUAAGUGAAAGCUAAGUUUGAGCCUGAACAAACAUGGACCAGAAGAGUGUGCAGUUGUAAGCUUUAACAGAGUGAAAAUAGAGUUCUCACACAAUGAGUUCUCACAACCCCAAAGGGGGUUGCCCACUCCCUGCUCAAAUGCCUGGGUUUAUAUCCCGAUCAUUGUCCCUCCACCCGUGCUCUCAGGCGAUAUAUGAUUUGCCUAUUUCUUAAACUCCUGCUUGUAGCCUCAUUUGUAUUUUAAUGAGCCCUCUUUACUAACUGAUUGGUUGGGUAUGAGCUGUGUUACAAGCCCCAUGUUUAAAGGCAGGUGCAGUCAACUUCCCCAGCUAGGCUUAGGAAUUCUUAGUCGGCCUAGGAAAUCCAGCUAGUCCUGUCUCUCACUUAAACCAAUUUUUUUCAAGGUUUUCCAAAAAAACUGAAGGAAGACUUUUUCAUUGACUUUUAUGAGGCUAGAUACCAGUCUGAUACAAAAGGCAAGAACGACAGUACAAGAAAAGUAAAUUGUAGGCCAGUAUCUCUGAAAAAGUUUGAUGUAAACAUCCUCAAGAAUAUACUAGAAAACUGAAUUGAACAGUACACUGAUAUGGUUAUUCACCAUGAUCAAGUGGGAUUCAUCCCUGGGAUGCAAAUACUGGUUCAACAUAUGCAAAGAAAAAAACCUGAUAUGCCAUUUUAACAUAAUGAAGAACAAAAAAACCAUACAAUCAUCUCAUUAGAUGCAAAGAAAGCAUUCCAACAAAUUCCUCAUAUUUUCAAAAUAUAAAUUCUCAAUAAACUAGGAACAAACAAAUACAAAACCCACAGCUUACUCAUCAUAAUACUCAACAGUGAAACAGGGUGUUUUUCUGGAAGAUCAACAACAAAACAAAGAUACUCAUUCUCAUCACUUGCAUUCUGAUGUGUUGAAUAGACGUGGUGGUACUGUGUUGAACACCUUACUGGAAGAUCUAAUCACAGCAAUCAGACACUCACUACAACCACCACCAACAAAAGUAAGGAAUAGAAGACAUUCAGAUAGAAAAGGAAAAAUUAGAAUGGUCUCUGACAAUGACAUAAUCUUGUGUAUAGAAAUCCCUAAGGCCUCCACUAAACAACUGUUGAAACUGAUAAAUGAGUGCAGUAAAGUUGCAGGGUUCAAAAUCUAUACAUAAAAAUCAGCAGUAUUUCUGCACAGUAAUAAAUAUUUUUUUAAAAAAUUAAGAAACAACUUGAAUAAUAGUAUCAUCUUAAAAAAUACCUAGCAGUAAAUUUAACCAAGAAGGUACAUACUGAAAACUAUAAAACAUUGAAAAGAGAAGUGGUAGACGAUACAAAUAUACAACAUACCCCUUUUACGGUCAGGAAAAAGUACUGUUAAAAUGUCCAUACUAUCACCUGGGUGCAGUGGCUCACACUUGUAAUCCCAGCACUUUGGGAGGCCGAGGUGGGCGAUCACGAGGUCAGGAGUUCAAGACCAGCCUGGCCAACAUGAUGAAACCCCAUCUCUACUAAAAGUUCAAAAAUCAGUCAGGCACGGUGGUGGGUGCCUUUAAACCCAGCUACUUGAGGCUCAGGCAGGAGAAUCACUUGAAACUGGAAGGCAGAAGUUGUAGUGAGCCGUGAUUGCACCACUGCACUCCAGACUGGGCAACAAGAGCGAAACUCCAUCUCAAAAAAAAAAGAAAAAAAGAAGAAGAAACAUGUCCAUAGUAUCCUGAGAGGUCUUCAGACACAAUGCAACCCCUAUCAAAAUUCCAAUGUCUUUAUUUGCAGCGAGAGAAUAAGCCCCAAAUUUGCAUGGAACAACAAAAGACCUCAGUAAAAACGAUCAAGAGCAAAAACAGCAAAGCCGGAGGAAUCACACCACCUGAUUUCAAAAAUGAUUACAAAGGAAUGGUUAACUAAACCUCAAGAUAUUGGUAUAAUACAGACAUAUGUAGAGCCCAGAAAUAAACCCAAGCAUUUAUGAUGGAGUGAUUUUUGACAUGUCAAGACCACAAAAUGAGAAAAGCACUGUCUCUUAAAGAAACUGUGUUGGGAGAACCUGAUUCCCAUGAGCAGAAGACUGGCAUUGGACGUAAGCUAACCUCAUACCCUACAGAAAAAUCAAUGGAACAUGGAUUAAAGGCUUUUAAACGUAAGACAUGAAACCGUGAAAGCACUGAAGGGAAACAGAGAAGAAAUGCUCCACAACAAUUGCUCUGGGAAAGCAUUUCUUGGAGAUGACCUCAAAGCACAGAGAACAAAAGCAAAAAUAAACAAACAAAAUGGCUUCUGCACAGUAAAGAAAACAACAGGCUAAAGAGAUCACCCAUCAACUGAAAGAAAAUAUUUCCAAGCCAUACAUCUGAUAUGAGGCUGCUAUCCAAAAUGUAUGAAAAACUGAAACAUCUUUAAUGUCAAGAAGAUAAAUAAGCCAGUCAAAAUAUGGGCAAAGGACAAAAACGGACACUUCUCCACAAAGCCAUAGAAAUGGCCAACAGGUAAAUGACAAAAUGCUCAUCAUAACUGUUACAAAAAUGCAAGUCAAAACCACAGGGGGUUAUUACCAUACAUCCCUGAUAGAAUGGUUAUAAAAAAGACAAAGGAUAAGAAGUGUUGGUGAAGGUGUGGAGCAAAGAGAACUCUUGUGUGCUAUUUGUGGGAAUGGAAGUUAAUACAGCCACUAUGAAAAACAGCAUUAAAGUUCCUAAAAAUUACAAAUAGGAUUACCAAAUAAUUCAGCAAUGCCAUUUCUGGGUAUAUGUGGAAACAAUGAAAUUGGUUAUGUUGGAGAUACAGCUGUGCUCCCAUGUUCAUUGCUGCACUAUUUACAAUAGCUAAGAUAUGGAGGUUACUAUAAGUGUCCACUGUUAGAAAACCAUUCGUCUGAUGGUGGACACUUACGUAUUCCUAAUAGUAAUGAAAUAAUAUUAUGUAAUAGUAUUUGCAAUGAAAUUAUUAGUUACCCUUAAAAUAGGGGGCAGAGGCAGAUUCUCUCAUUUGGGACGAGAAUAAACCUAGAGGAUAUUAUGUUAAGUGAAAUAAGCCAGACAGAAAAACCAAUGUCACAAUAUCUCACUUAUACAUGAAAUCUAAGAAAGUUCAACUCAUAUAAGUAAAGAGCUGAUUGAUGGUUACCAGAGGGCAAAGGUGGGUGGAGGGGGAGUAGGAAUAAAGAAAUAUGUUGAUCAACGUGGGACAAAGUUUUAAACAGAUGCAUUUAGUUUUAGUAAACUUUGUGCAAAAUGGGAAUUGUAAUAAAUAAGAUAUUGUAAAUACAGGAAUGCAAGUAUAGUAGGUAGGGCAAAAAAAAAAAAAA